AAUGACGGGACCGCACAAGCGGUGGAUGAUGUGGAUUAAUUCGAUGCAACGCGAAAACCUUACCUACCCUUGACAUGUCCGGAAUCCCGAAGAGAUUUGGGAGUGCUCGCAAGAGAGCCGGAACACAGGUGCUGCAUGGCUGUCGUCAGCUCGUGUCGUGAGAUGUUGGGUUAAGUCCCGCAACGAGCGCAACCCUUGUCAUUAGUUGCUACAUUUAGUUGGGCACUCUAAUGAGACUGCCGGUGACAAGCCGGAGGAAGGUGGGGAUGACGUCAAGUCCUCAUGGCCCUUAUAGGUGGGGCUACACACGUCAUACAAUGGCUGGUACAGAGGGUUGCCAACCCGCGAGGGGGAGCUAAUCCCAUAAAACCAGUCGUAGUCCGGAUCGCAGUCUGCAACUCGGCUGCGUGAAGUCGGAAUCGCUAGUAAUCGCGGAUCAGAAUGUCGCGGUGAAUACGUUCCCGGGUCUU
rnacentral:rRNA from 1 species